rnacentral:rRNA from 1 species
UACAGAGGUCUCAAGCGUUGUUCGGAUUCACUGGGCGUAAAGGGUGCGUAGGUGGCGGGGUAAGUCUGAUGUGAAAUCUCCAAGCUUAACUUGGAAAUGGCAUUGGAAACUACUCUGCUCGAGGGUUGGAGGGGGGACUGGAAUACUUGGUGUAGCAGUGAAAUGCGUAGAUAUCGGGAGGAACACCAGUGGCGAAAGCGGCGACCUGGACGGACACUGACGCUGAGACGCGAAAGCUAGGGGAGCGAACGGG